UACGUAGGGCGCAAGCGUUAUCCGGAAUUAUUGGGCGUAAAGAGCUCGUAGGCGGUUUGUCGCGUCUGCCGUGAAAGUCCGGGGCUCAACUCCGGAUCUGCGGUGGGUACGGGCAGACUAGAGUGAUGUAGGGGAGACUGGAAUUCCUGGUGUAGCGGUGAAAUGCGCAGAUAUCAGGAGGAACACCGAUGGCGAAGGCAGGUCUCUGGGCCGAUACUGACGCUGAGGAGCGAAAGCGUGGGGGAGCGAACAGG
rnacentral:rRNA from 1 species